rnacentral:snRNA from 1 species
GUGCUUGCUUUGGCAGCACAGAUACUAACCUUGGAAUGAUGCAGAGAAGAUUAGCAUGGCNCCUGCGCAUGGAUGACACGCAAAUUUGUGAAGNGUUCCAUAUUUNN